rnacentral:misc_RNA from 1 species
AAAAGGAAAAAAAAAAAGGAAUGGUGACUGCUACUUUGUCCCAAAUCUAUUUGAAGCCAUGUCUGGUUCAUGGAUUGAAUAUUGCAGAAAGGAAACUAUGUGAUUAUAGUUAUGUAGGAAUAUAUGUUGGAAAGAUCAUGCCAUAGCCGUACAGACAUGGUAUUGGUGGGACCUUGUUGUUGAACCUUAAAGAUUAUACCCCCGAGGAUGUGUAAAAUCAAAAACCCCAUUUAAGUACCAAUUACUCUAAUGGAGCUAAACAUAUGAGCUAUGAAUCCUUUCUGCAGCUUACGUUCAGCAAACAUAAGAAUUUUGAAAUGCUGUAGACUUCUAAACUAAUUGUGUAAACUAAAAGCAGCAGCAUUCUAAUUUAAUAUUGGGGAAAUAAUUGUUAGUACCUGUAUUGAAUUAGACCUGCCAAAGGUUGGUGCAUUAAA